UACGUAGGGUGCAAGCGUUGUCCGGAAUUAUUGGGCGUAAAGAGCUCGUAGGCGGUUUGUCGCGUCUGCUGUGAAAACUCAGGGCUUAACCCUGAGCCUGCAGUGGGUACGGGCAGACUAGAGUGUGGUAGGGGAGAUCGGAAUUCCUGGUGUAGCGGUGGAAUGCGCAGAUAUCAGGAGGAACACCGGUGGCGAAGGCGGAUCUCUGGGCCAUAACUGACGCUGAGGAGCGAAAGCUGGGGAGCGAACAGG
rnacentral:rRNA from 1 species